AAGAUACGCAAGGGGUACUGGAAGUCAAUUCUUCUGGUUGAGAUUCACCCUCAGAACCUGAUACGGUUAAUACCGUCGUAGGGAUGUGUUACUAUAUGUUU
rnacentral:ncRNA from 2 species